rnacentral:lncRNA from 1 species
CGUGCACACAGGCACGGAAAGGAAGGGGGAGAAAGGAGGAAGAGAAGUCAGGGCUUAUCUCAAGCUCCGGUGAUAUCUCCGAUGAGAAAUUGAGGCAAACACGGUGAAAGCUUUCGUGAGAAAACUUCGACAAUCUUUGUCGUUUGGCUCUUGAUUUCUUGAUGGGAAGAAGAGAAAAGAGAUCUCCCCUUUAAAUAGAGUCGGAGGGAA